GCCGGGGUGGCGAAAUGGCAGACGCGACGGACUUAAAAUCCGUUGGCCGUAAGGCCGUGCGGGUUCGAGUCCCGCCCUCGGCA
rnacentral:tRNA from 1 species